UGGUUGACUUAUUCUGAUUAACAUAAUACUCUGUAGCUCCAUCCAUUCAUUGCAAAUGGCAAGAUUUCAUUCUUUUUCUUCACAACUAUUCCACUUAUA